AGACCCGAAACCCGGUGAUCUAGCCAUGGGCAGGUUGAAGGUUGGGUAACACUAACUGGAGGACCGAACCGACUAAUGUUGAAAAAUUAGCGGAUGACCUGUGGCUGGGGGUGAAAGGCCAAUCAAACCGGGAGAUAGCUGGUUCUCCCCGAAAGCUAUUUAGGUAGCGCCUCGUGAAUUCAUCUCCGGGGGUAGAGCACUGUUUCGGCUAGGGGGCCAUCCCGGCUUACCAACCCGAUGCAAACUGCGAAUACCGGAGAAUGUUAUCACGGGAGACACACGGCGGGUGCUAACGUCCGUCGUGAAGAGGGAAACAACCCAGACCGCCAGCUAAGGUCCCAAAGUCAUGGUUAAGUGGGAAACGAUGUGGGAAGGCCCAGACAGCCAGGAUGUUGGCUUAGAAGCAGCCAUCAUUUAAAGAAAGCGUAAUAGCUCACUGGUCGAGUCGGCCUGCGCGGAAGAUGUAACGGGGCUAAACCAUGCACCGAAGCUGCGGCAGCGACACUGUGUGUUGUUGGGUAGGGGAGCGUUCUGUAAGCCUGUGAAGGUGUGUCGUGAGGCAUGCUGGAGGUAUCAGAAGUGCGAAUGCUGACAUAAGUAACGAUAAAGCGGGUGAAAAGCCCGCUCGCCGGAAGACCAAGGGUUCCUGUCCAACGUUAAUCGGGGCAGGGUGAGUCGACCCCUAAGGCGAGGCCGAAAGGCGUAGUCGAUGGGAAACGGGUUAAUAUUCCCGUACUUGGUGUUACUGCGAAGGGGGGACGGAGAAGGCUAUGUUGGCCGGGCGACGGUUGUCCCGGUUUAAGCGUGUAGGUGUGUGUUCCAGGUAAAUCCGGUUCACUUUAACACUGAGGCGUGACGACGAGGCACUACGGUGCUGAAGCAACAAAUGCCCUGCUUCCAGGAAAAGCCUCUAAGCAUCAGGUAACAUCAAAUCGUACCCCAAACCGACACAGGUGGUCAGGUAGAGAAUACCAAGGCGCUUGAGAGAACUCGGGUGAAGGAACUAGGCAAAAUGGUGCCGUAACUUCGGGAGAAGGCACGCUGACACGUAGGUGAAGUGAUUUACUCAUGGAGCUGAAGUCAGUCGAAGAUACCAGCUGGCUGCAACUGUUUAUUAAAAACACAGCACUGUGCAAACACGAAAGUGGACGUAUACGGUGUGACGCCUGCCCGGUGCCGGAAGGUUAAUUGAUGGGGUCAGCGCAAGCGAAGCUCCUGAUCGAAGCCCCGGUAAACGGCGGCCGUAACUAUAACGGUCCUAAGGUAGCGAAAUUCCUUGUCGGGUAAGUUCCGACCUGCACGAAUGGCGUAAUGAUGGCCAGGCUGUCUCCACCCGAGACUCAGUGAAAUUGAACUCGCUGUGAAGAUGCAGUGUACCCGCGGCAAGACGGAAAGACCCCGUGAACCUUUACUAUAGCUUGACACUGAACAUUGAGCCUUGAUGUGUAGGAUAGGUGGGAGGCUUUGAAGUGUGGACGCCAGUCUGCAUGGAGCCGACCUUGAAAUACCACCCUUUAAUGUUUGAUGUUCUAACGUGGACCCGUUACCCGGGUUGCGGACAGUGUCUGGUGGGUAGUUUGACUGGGGCGGUCUCCUCCUAAAGAGUAACGGAGGAGCACGAAGGUUGGCUAAUCCUGGUCGGACAUCAGGAGGUUAGUGCAAUGGCAUAAGCCAGCUUGACUGCGAGCGUGACGGCGCGAGCAGGUGCGAAAGCAGGUCAUAGUGAUCCGGUGGUUCUGAAUGGAAGGGCCAUCGCUCAACGGAUAAAAGGUACUCCGGGGAUAACAGGCUGAUACCGCCCAAGAGUUCAUAUCGACGGCGGUGUUUGGCACCUCGAUGUCGGCUCAUCACAUCCUGGGGCUGAAGUAGGUCCCAAGGGUAUGGCUGUUCGCCAUUUAAAGUGGUACGCGAGCUGGGUUUAGAACGUCGUGAGACAGUUCGGUCCCUAUCUGCCGUGGGCGCUGGAGAACUGAGGGGGGCUGCUCCUAGUACGAGAGGACCGGAGUGGACGCAUCACUGGUGUUCGGGUUGUCAUGCCAAUGGCACUGCCCGGUAGCUAAAUGCGGAAGAGAUAAGUGCUGAAAGCAUCUAAGCACGAAACUUGCCCCGAGAUGAGUUCUCCCUGAGACUUAAAGUCUCCUGAAG
rnacentral:rRNA from 1 species